CCGAUAGUGAACCAGUACCGUGAGGGAAAGGUGAAAAGCACCCCGGAAGGGGAGUGAAAUAGAACCUGAAACCGUGUGCUUACAAGUAGUCAGAGCCCGUUAAUGGGUGAUGGCGUGCCUUUUGUAGAAUGAACCGGCGAGUUACGAUUUGAUGCAAGGUUAAGCAGUAAAUGUGGAGCCGUAGCGAAAGCGAGUCUGAAUAGGGCGUUUAGUAUUUGGUCGUAGACCCGAAACCAGGUGAUCUACCCUUGGUCAGGUUGAAGUUCA
rnacentral:rRNA from 1 species